AGCGAACGCUGGCGGCAGGCUUAACACAUGCAAGUCGAGCGGGCAUCCUUGUGGUGUCAGCGGCAGACGGGUGAGACACGCGUGGAACCGCGCCCUUCGGUUCGGCAUAACCUAGGGAAACCUGAGAAAAUACCGGAUACGUGCGAGCGCAGAAAGGUUUACCUGCGGAAGGAUCGGCGCGCGUCUGUUUCGCUAGUUGGUGACGUUAUGGUACACCAAGGCGACGCACAGUAGCUGGUCUGAGAGGAUGAACAGCCACACUGGGAGUGAGACACGGCCCAGUCUCCUGCGAGAGACAGGAGUGGGGAAUAUUGGACAGGGGGAGCGACCGAGAUAGAGCCGUGGCGCGGAGGUAGUGGCGGCCUGGGUGUUGUAAUGCUCUUUUCGCCGAAGCGAUAAUGACGGUACCGGGGGAAUAAGCCCCGGCUAACUUCGUG
rnacentral:rRNA from 1 species